UUUACAGGCCUUCCACUGAUUGGAUGAAGCCUACCCACAUUAUAGAAGACAAAAAGCUUUACUCAGUUUACUAAAUCAAAUGUUCACUUUAUCCAGAAGCACCCUCAGACACAAGAACCACAUUUGAUCAAAUGUCUGGGCAAUCCCCCAACAGUCAAGUUGGCAGGGACCAUCCUCCAAUAUAUAAUGUUUAUUCACAAUGAGAACUGGAUCCAGACCUAAAGAAUGCAGAUGAUUUUAAAGCAUAUGAUAUAUAACCAUGUGAAGAACUGACUCUAGAGCAAGACUUGAAAAACUAUUGCCUGCAAAGCAUUUUGGGGCUGCUACUUGCAUCGAUGUACAAACUGUAUUGGAACAGCACUGCGUCAUACACUUAUGCAUUAUUCUCAACUGCUUUUUCAUCAGAAAAACAGAGUUGAGAAGUGAGA